UUGGAGUUUCAGAUAGACAUCAUCACCAAUCUGAAAUUGCCUAUCUGAUAUGUGUUUGUUUUCCUGUUGUUGCAUUUUGUUUUAUGCCUUGAGCAGGUGAAAUUUCAUAAGCUUAAUGGCUCUCUCUUGCAGCUAAAGACUUGUUAACAGUAGUUGACUGUGAUUCACCAGGUAAAUAUGGAAAAUGCAGUGGAGGUGGUAGGUCAUAGACCAUUUCAAAUGGAGUAGUGUGAAUAAAGGAAUGGAAGUUGGUGUUAUACCACAUCAAUGGCAGCAGUUCAACC
rnacentral:lncRNA from 1 species